rnacentral:tRNA from 1 species
CAAUUUAAAACUUAAUAGUUAAGUAUUUCAUUUACAUUGAAAGUAAUUUUGUGCAAAUCAAAUUAAAUUGA